UAUAUAUAUACAUACGUAUAUGUAUAUGCUGCAUAUCUAAAUGUGUGCGCGUACGUAAUUGAUCUAGACCAUCUUAAUGUUGCAGGUCAAUGGUGGUUUUCCAGCAAAGGAGGCACAUUUGACAAUGUAAUAGAAGCCAUCAGAUGUGUUGAAUGUGAAGCUUUAGUUUGGGCUAUGAACUACAUAAAAACCUUACGGUUUUUAGAAGUGGUGUCUCAACAAAUUAUUUUUAACUGGUGAAAAUAGUAUGUACACCGAUAAAAUGGUCUGCUUUUACUUCCCACAUGGAUGAAUUUUAAAGAUAUAAUAAAAAGUUCUUCCCUAAUUCACAAUCAAACAUACUUCUAAAGCAAAUAAAACAAUAGCGUGUUUAUACAAGGUGUUCCGAAUAUGCAUGCUGCUAUAGUUUAUGCUGAUUUAAUUUCACCUAAUUGCUUGAUCAAUCGGUGUAUGUUUCGUAGUUGAGUAGAUAUUGUUGGUAAUACAAUUAUUAGUAUUUUUAAUAUAUAUUAUCUAUUAAUUCAUAUUUUAGUUUCAAUAUAUUCUCAAAUGGAAAAUUAGCAACAUUCCUUCCGAAGAGAAUUUGAAAUAUUGUCAUAAUUGGAAGCACAUUCCUAUAUGAGACAGCAGAACAUUUGUCCAUCCCUGAUUAACAUUUACCAUUCAAAAUAUGUACAUGCAUACAAGUACAAAGAAAAAUAAACUUUAGCCUUACCUCAUUGUCUCAUGCGCAAAAAGUUUCUUCUACUUUUGUUAAAAAUUUUAAAAUGCUAUUGUCAUUUUAUGAUGUAAUGAAGUUGUUGAAUCAAGUUUCACAUAAAUGUUUUUGGUAUUUCAUUCUAUCAAUUCAUUAUAUUUAUAACAUCUAGAUUUUAAAAUUUGCUGGGAGACUCUAUAUGGAUGUGAAAUGACAAACAUUUUACCUCUCUCCGCAAAGGAGAAAACAUUGCAUACAACAUGUUGUUUUUGCAUUUUACAUGUAUAUACAAAUAAUCAUGAAAAUAACUGCCAAACAUAUGUCAAAAAUUUUGUACUACUAUUCACUUUAUAUAACGAGGACAUUCACACGAAUUAUAAAUAUUAAUACACACACACAUACACAAAUUGUUAGAAUAUUCAAGUCAGUGUAAUUAAAAGGACGCCUUAUGCACGGUGGAAACACCCCAUUUAAAAAACGACGGUCAAAACUCAACAAAUUUCCUUAUUAAUAUAAAAUUAUAUCUGGUCGUUUAUUGCCUAACUCAUUGAGAAUAUGGAAGUUAAUCUCUUGUAGUUUUGUUAUUCUUCAAGUAUAUACAUGCCUUCUUCAUUGAUUAAUUUCACGUAUACGACUUGAGAACUGUAAAGCAGUCGAAAGACUAAAUAAAACUAGAAGAAAACGACUAAAAACUACUGUCCUUUUUGUCAACUGAUCCUUUCGACCAAACAACUAACAUUGUCAGAUUUUCGUCUAAUUUGCCAUUUAGACAUUUACCGAGAUCAAAUGCCAGACUACUACCAUAACAUUAUGAUGGCGAAAAACUAACCAUUAGAAAUGUUUAUUUUAUGAGCGAAAGAAAGAAAAAAACAAUUACAAAUAUUUGUCCCUUGAACGACCAUAUAUACCGGAUUGUCACCAAACUUACCAUCAUUUGACACCAGACCACCAGUUGAAUAUGUCAUUACAAAAAGUAAUCAGCUACGUACAUACUUUCAUUAGAGAUAUAUACUUAAGACAGACCAUCGCUUCUUUUAUUUUGCAGCGACAUUUGUGUUUUUUAGCAACAAAUAGUAAUCACUUUUAGGACUGGUUUAUAUUUAGAAGACACAGAUAUAAUAAAUUUAUAAGAUAAUAGAAACUAGAUUUUCACCCGCGCUAAAGCGUGGAAUAAUUCUUUGGUAACAAUUUUAUAUAAUCGCAUUUUCUCUUCAAUUAAAAUAGGUAUGAGUAUAAAAUCUGUAACCCAAAAUCCGUACAAAACUCAAUCCAACAAAAACUGAUCCGUACCCAGUCCGAAAUAUAAGAAAUCCCAUAAUAGGUCUUGUAGUGUGGUACACCACAUAUCUGAAUCCGAAGUGUUAUUAGCCGAAUCCGAAUGGACAACCUGAAAAACUAAAAAAUCCAAAAAAUCCAAAAAGCGACCCAAAGUCCAAAUUAAUUGCAAAUAUAAAUAUAUGAAACAUAAAUAUGUACUUAAAUAUAUUCAAUUCUAUAUUUAUUUUGAAAUUAUUUAUAAAAAUAAGUAUUUAAAUCUUCAAUAAGUACCUUAAAUAUCCAAUCAUAUGUAAAUAAGUUUAUUUCUUAUGUUUUUCUUUUCAAUUUUGGAUUUAACUUCGGAUAUAUCCGAACCGAACUCAUAUAACCUGAAUCGAAAUAAUAUAUGGUUCCUUUAUGAAUUUAGAUGUGAUACAAUUUAGAAGUAAAACCGAUGUGUUAUAUCUGAACUUGAUUUGUACUUACAAAUUUAUCAGAAUAAGACCUAAGAUGUGAUAUAAAUUAGAACCAAAAUUCUAAAUACCCAACUCGUAUCACAACGGGUACCUGAACGCUCAAGCCUAACUUAAAAUUUGUUUUAUGUUUUGUUCAAUUAGUUUUUUAUUUGACAAAUAUUUAUAUGUAUUGGAAUAAUCCGUGAAACUAUACUGAUAAAAAUAUCAAUAAUAACAUGUUCGAGCAUAUCAUGAAAUAUUAACGACUAUUACUAUUUAUUUUAUCAUAUGACUAUAUAUAUAUAAUUUUAAUACUUUAUCCAUAAGAAUUAUAUUAUUAUGUAUUUUGCGAGGAUGCUAAAGAAUAUUUUUUUUGCAUUUGAAUUAGAGUACAAUUGUAUAUAUGUAUUAGUAGGCAUAUAUAAUUCUUUUUAUAUUAAUAAAUUAAAAUAUAAUUGAUUAUUUACUUAAAAGUAGUAUAAAUAUAAAUUGAAUUCAUUACUAAAAAAUAGUAGAUUAGUUAUUUAGUUCUUUAAUUUUAGGUUAGAGUAUAUAUUUAAUAAUAAUUAAGUUAAGUAUAAGUAGAAAUAAUAGGAAAAUAGUUAAAUAUAUUGGUCCAACCUAGACUAUUUGUAAGUAGAUAAAAAAUAUAAUCUUAAAUUAAUAGAUUAGAUACACGAUUUUAUUAGGAAAAGAACUGACAAAAUAUUUCGAGUAUUUUAUAUUUUAUAUCUAUAUAUAUUGGGUUAGUUCAUAUGCAUGUAAUAAAAUUGGCCAAACAAACAUAGAAUAUGCUUAAGUGGAAAUAUAAUGACAUUAUUCCGAAAUAACGGUUUCAACUUGACCUCCACAUUAAAUUUAUCGCCCUCCCCAAAAUUAAUAAAUUAUACAUUUUGAUACACGAUUUAUACAAAUCGUAUAUUAUUAUUAUGUUGACAUUUUUUCGAAUGAAUAUGGUGACAAUUUUUAUGAUAAUUAGGUAAUAAUGUGAUGAUCUAACGCUACUAUCUUUGAAUUACUUUUCAAUAACUUCUUCGUACACGGUUUAGAUUAAUUUUCAAAAUGUCUUUGCCAAGUACUUUCCUUACAAAAAUACAAUUCAAUACAUCUACCUUUAUAUAUAUAAUAUAUACAUUUAUGUACCAAUUUACACAGUAAUAAUAUAAAUAUAUUUACUAUUUAUACACUAAUAUAUAACUCUCGACCGAUUGGAAUAUUAUUUAUUAUAGUAUUAAUAUAUCAUAUGUAGAUAAAUGAAAACCAAAAUAAGCU